GUGGGUAUAGCUCAGUUGGUUAGAGCGCCAGAUUGUGGCUCUGGAGGUCGUGAGUUCGACUCUCAUCGACUCCU
rnacentral:tRNA from 1 species